rnacentral:rRNA from 1 species
GAAAGAUGGCUUUGGCUAUCACUCUGGGAUGGACCUGCGGUGCAUUAGCUAGUUGGUAAGGUAACGGCUUACCAAGGCGAUGAUGCAUAGCCGAGUUGAGAGACUGAUCGGCCACAAUGGAACUGAGACACGGUCCAUACUCCUACGGGAGGCAGCAGUAGGGAAUCUUCCACAAUGGGCGCAAGCCUGAUGGAGCAACACCGCGUGAGUGAAGAAGGGUUUCGGCUCGUAAAGCUCUGUUGUUGGAGAAGAACGUGCGUGAGAGUAACUGUUCACGCAGUGACGGUAUCCAACCAGAAAGUCACGGCUAACUACGUGCCAGCAGCCGCGGUAAUACGUAGGUGGCAAGCGUUAUCCGGAUUUAUUGGGCGUAAAGCGAGCGCAGGCGGUUGCUUAGGUCUGAUGUGAAAGCCUUCGGCUUAACCGAAGAAGUGCAUCGGAAACCGGGCGACUUGAGUGCAGAAGAGGACAGUGGAACUCCAUGUGUAGCGGUGGAGUGCGUAGAUAUAUGGAAGAACACCAGUGGCGAAGGCGGCUGUCUGGUCUGCAACUGACGCUGAGGCUCGAAAGCAUGGGUAGCGAACAGGAUUAGAUACCCUGGUAGUCCAUGCCGUAAACGAUGAGUGCUAGGUGUUGGAGGGUUUCCGCCCU